rnacentral:rRNA from 1 species
GACGAACGCUGGCGGCGUGCCUAAUACAUGCAAGUAGAAGCUAGUUGCGAACGGGUGAGUAAUGUAUCGGAACGUGCCCAGUAGCGGGGGAUAACUACGCGAAAGCGUAGCUAAUACCGCAUACUAUUGGAGCGGCCGAGAUCGGAUUAGCUCGUUGGUGGGGUAACGGCUCCCCAAGGCGACGAUCCGUAGCUGGUUGGAGAGGACGACCAGCCACACUGAGACUGAGACACGGCCCAGCCUCCUACGGGAGGCAGCAAUGGGGAAUUUUGGACAAUUGGUGAAACCCUGAUCCAGCCAUCCCGCGUGUGCGAUGAAGGCCGUCGGGUUGUGAAACACUUUUGGCAGGAAAGCGGUACCUGCAGAAUAAGCACCGGCUAACUACGUGCCAGCAGCCGCGGGAAUU